CAAUAGCGUAUAUUAAAGUUGUUGCAGUUAAAAAGCUCGUAGUUGGAUUUCUGGUUGAAGCGACCGGUCGGGCGUUGAUUCGUCUGCACUGGAGUCGGUUUUGGCCAUCCUCUAGGAAAGUGCGUCUGGUAUUAAGUUAUCGGGCGUAUGAUCCUGGUCUUUUACUGUGAAAAAAUUAGAGUGUUUAAAGCAGGCCUUCGCCUUGAAUACAUUAGUAUGGAAUAAUAAGAUAGGACUUUGGUCUAUUUUGUUGGUUUGCAGACCGAAGUAAUGAUUAAUAGGGAUAGUUGGGGGUAUUUAUAUUCCGAUGUCAGAGGUGAAAUUCUUAGAUUUUCGGAAGAUAAACUUAUGCGAAAGCAUUUACCAAGGAUGUUUNCAUUA
rnacentral:rRNA from 1 species